rnacentral:rRNA from 1 species
UACAGAGGGGGCAAGCGUUAUUCGGAAUUAUUGGGCGUAAAGGGCGCGUAGGCGGCUUUGCAAGUGACGGGUGAAAGCCCUCGGCUUAACCGAGGAACUGCCUGUCAGACUGUAAGGCUUGAGACCGGGAGAGGUGAGUGGAAUUCCCAGUGUAGCGGUGAAAUGCGUAGAUAUUGGGAGGAACACCAGUGGCGAAGGCGGCUCACUGGACCGGAACUGGCGCUGAGGCGCGAAAGCGUGGGGAGCAAACAGG